AUACGUAGGGAGCGAGCGUUGUCCGGAAUUACUGGGUGUAAAGGGAGCGUAGGCGGGAGUGCAAGUCAGAUGUGAAAUACAUGGGCUCAACCCAUGGGCUGCAUUUGAAACUGCAUUUCUUGAGUGAAGUAGAGGUAAGCGGAAUUCCUGGUGUAGCGGUGAAAUGCGUAGAUAUCAGGAGGAACACCGGUGGCGAAGGCGGCUUACUGGGCUUUUACUGACGCUGAGGCUCGAAAGCGUGGGGAGCAGACAGGAUUAGAUACCCUGGUAGUCCACGCUGUAAACGAUGAUUACUAGGUGUGGGGGGACUGACCCCUUCCGUGCCGCAGUUAACACAAUAAGUAAUCCACCUGGGGAGUACGGCCGCAAGGUUGAAACUCAAAGGAAUUGACGGGG
rnacentral:rRNA from 1 species